UACGAAGGGGGCUAGCGUUGCUCGGAAUCACUGGGCGUAAAGGGCGCGUAGGCGGCUGUUUAAGUCGGAGGUGAAAGCCCGUGGCUCAACCACGGAAUGGCCUUCGAUACUGGACGGCUUGAGACCGGAAGAGGACGGCGGAACUGCGAGUGUAGAGGUGAAAUUCGUAGAUAUUCGCAAGAACACCAGUGGCGAAGGCGGCUGUCUGGUCCGGUUCUGACGCUGAGGCGCGAAAGCGUGGGGAGCGAACAGG
rnacentral:rRNA from 1 species